UAAGACGAACCGUCCAAACGUUAUUCGGAAUCACUGGGCUUAAAGGGUGCGUAGGCGGCGCGGCAAGUUGGGUGUGAAAUACCUCGGCUCAACCGAGGAACUGCGCCCAAAACUGCCGUGCUCGAGGAAGAUAGAGGUGAGCGGAACUUAGGGUGGAGCGGUGAAAUGCGUUGAUAUCCUAAGGAACACCGGUGGCGAAAGCGGCUCACUGGAUCUUUUCUGACGCUGAGGCACGAAAGCUAGGGUAGCGAACGGG
rnacentral:rRNA from 1 species